rnacentral:tRNA from 1 species
UCUUCAAUAGCUCAAUUGGUAGAGCAAAUGGCUGUUAACCAUUAGGUCGUCGGUUCGAAUCCGGCUUGAAGAG